AGAUGUUAAAAAAAAAUCUGUUUUCUCUAGUUCAGAUAGAAUUGUACUAAGUGAGAUAAAUAUAUGCAUACAAAGCCACCUGAUAAACUGUAAGCCAUUUUGUCAUUAUCAUCAUUUAUAAUAAUGAUCAUAAUAAAAUUCUUCCAUAAGCGAUCAAGAAAACUUUUGAGAUGUAGAAGAUUAAAAUACCCUAAUUCUGGGGAUAUUCCAAAACCAGAAAAAACUCAAAUAGAAAUAUUAAAACACAAAUGUUUAAAUAGUAAAAUUGGCAAAGGAAGAUGUGAGUUACAGGAGUAGGGACUCCUAGAGGAGGCACGUAUUAUAGAAGGGUAGGGGCAAUUUGGUUUUGGAGCUCACAUCUCCAUUGCCUGAUGCCAAGAGAUCACUUUGAUAUUACUUGUUUUUCCCAUGAACAUUUUCUUAUACAUGCUACUGAUUCAAAACAGCAACAGCAAACUCACCCUCUGUAUACCGUAGCCAAUCAUUUGAGUAUUUCUGCAGUAGCAAAAGGUGGGCGGUAGGUUUCUGAUUUCACACGCCUAAGUUGAAGCUUGUUGAAACAGAGGGCACUUUGUACAACUUCUGGCUUAGCAACACCAGGCACCACACCACUUAGCCCAUAAUUGCACACCAGUGAGACACAGAGACACGAUUAUUUCUCUAGGUAUGUGAGCUGGUCCCAACAUUCCUGGUCUCCAUCAGACCCUGAAAAUCAAGGCAGAUCCGAUGGUCUCAGAAGUCCUAGUUCGGUUGUGCUUGCUGUAGUCUGGGAAGCUUGUCACCGUGUGGAUGUGGAGCUGUUUCAUGCUUACUUGACUGCACAAACAAUUCAAAAAGCAUCCCAAGUCAGAGCGAAUUUUAACCAGUAAAUGCAUCUUCCAGUGCGCAUGACAAAGAGGCUGACAUCAUGGGGAAAUUUAGAGAACUGAAGAAAAUGAACUUUGCCCAGAGAAGCUUCCUUAAGACAGGGCUAGAUAAUAGUGUCGAAUAAUAUUUUUUUUAAUAAGGCAUUGUGGUAAAAUAAUACAUGAUCUUUUUUUCCCAAAGAACCUGUACCACCACUUUCCUCUAGAGCAGCUAGUCAGGUGAGCAUGGUUAAGUUUGGCUUAAGUUUGACUUUGUGGUAUGAAGGGGUGUGGGACUUCACCCACAUGGAGGUGGAAAAGCCACAGAGGAUGUUUAAGAUACAGUGAGUAAACCCGUCUGAAUGGAAUGGAAGUUUCAUGUAGUGGCACAGAGAGGGGCCUCACAGAAAGCAGAUGGGACACUCACCGUGCAUUCACUGAGGAGAGUGUAACGACUGCGUUAUUUACAAUGAUGCGAGAGGAGUUAAGUGAAACCAAGGGGAGGUGUUGAAACCUCCUGAGGUGAGCAACAAGAAGGUGCCACCCCCUUUCCAUCUGAGGUGGGAAGUGGAAGGAAUCAUUGUCAGGACCUCAAGAAAGCUCAAACUGUAGGAGACCACAGCCAAAGAGGACCAACCUCUGCAAACUCAGGAAACAGCCGAGACCCCUUUUUUCCUCCUCCCUGAUCUCCUGACUGUGCCUGCAGUGAGCAAAGCCAACCAAAAGCCAGACGGCAACGGAAUCUGCUCGUGUUUCCUAGAAAGUUCAGCCUGCUGGUAUUUGGAGCAGAACAGAAAGUACUGGAGAGGGGAACUGAAGGGACGAAUAGAACGUAUCCCAAAGAGCUGAUAAGUUAGAUCAAAAGGAUACUGGGUGACUAGAAGCUUUCCUAUAGUGGGCUGGGAUGGGGAGGUGUCUGUGUUUCCUCUCCGUCCCGCUUAUCCUGUCACAAGUUUGCUCUGAAUCUAUUUCCCAUUGUCCACACGACAGGUAGCUUACACUGCAGGCCGCAAAGAACUGUUACAAGCAGCUAUUCUACAGACGUUCAACAUAAGAUUCCUAAAUCAAGGAUUAAGGAGCAAGAAUGAACAAGAAAUAGGCCCAUGGGCAACGUGAAAGCAUUUUGUAGGUAUUGGCUAUGGUGCUAGAGAACAGAGACUGAGAGCAAAACACAGCACGGUACCUGCCCUCAAGGAGACCACAACCUGAUAGAAGAAACUGACAAAUAAGCCAGCAAUGAUAGAAUAUCAGAGCAUUAUGGAAACAGACAAGCAAGGAUCUCACUCUUCUUGGGAGCUGGGGCUCAAGUGGAAACUGUUACCUCUAAACCUGAGAGGAUGACUUUUUCUGUUAAUUCAAAUGGCCCAAUGAAGCUGGGACUGAAAGAUAAAGAGGAUGGGAUCUAAAACAGACAUUGAAAUGGAUCUGAAAGCAAAGAGGGGCAUAUAGCAGAGAUGAGAGUCACCACUGAGGAAUCUACUGUGAACAGAAGACACACAUGUAUAGAGAUAUUAGUGGCACAAUGCAAAGGUGGCAUUGUAGUAAAAAAAGACACAUCAACACACACUGAGUGGCAUAGGACCUGCGAAUAAGGGCUGACGUGAAUAAGUACCCUAGAAGCUCAAGGAGUGGAUGUUGAGCUUGGCCAGAAGGUUUAAAGAAGAUUUCCUGGAUAAAAUGGACCUGAGCCUUUCUUCACAAGAAGCAGUCUAGUGCAGAGAGCCCACUGGAGAUGAAGGUUUGAAAUGGACCAAGAAUUUCAGCACCUCACAUUUCCCAUGCUGGCCCUGCUAGUAAUUCCAGCAAUUCCAGAGGCUUUAAAGCAUAGAAAUGAGUUCUUUUUUUUUUUUUUAACAACUUUAU